rnacentral:rRNA from 1 species
GUAUUGUUAGCCGAACGCUCUGGAAAGUGCGGCCAUAGCAGGUGAUAGCCCUGUAGGCGAAAACAGUAUGAAAGAACUAGGUGUACGACAAGUAGGGCGGGACACGUGAAAUCCUGUCUGAAGAUGGGGGGACCAUCCUCCAAGGCUAAAUACUCGUGAUCGACCGAUAGUGAACCAGUACCGUGAGGGAAAGGCGAAAAGAACCCCGGGAGGGGAGUGAAAUAGAUCCUGAAACCGCAUGCAUACAAACAGUCGGAGCCUCGUAAGGGGUGACGGCGUACCUUUUGUAUAAUGGGUCAGCGACUUACGUUCAGUAGCAAGCUUAACCGUAUAGGGCAGGCGUAGCGAAAGCGAGUCCGAAUAGGGCGUUCAGUUGCUGGGCGUAGACCCGAAACCAGGUGAUCUAUCCAUGGCCAGGAUGAAGGUGCGGUAACACGUACUGGAGGUCCGAACCCACUAACGUUGAAAAGUUAGGGGAUGAGCUGUGGAUAGGGGUGAAAGGCUAAACAAACCUGGAAAUAGCUGGUUCUCUCCGAAAACUAUUUAGGUAGUGCCUCGUGUCUCACCUUCGGGGGUAGAGCACUGUCAUGGUUGGGGGGUCUAUUGCAGAUUACCCCGCCAUAGCAAACUCCGAAUACCGAAGAGUGCAAUCACGGGAGACAGACAUCGGGUGCUAACGUCCGGUGUCAAGAGGGAAACAACCCAGACCGCCAGCUAAGGUCCCCAAAUAUGGCUAAGUGGGAAACGAAGUGGGAAGGCUAAAACAGUCAGGAGGUUGGCUUAGAAGCAGCCACCCUUUAAAGAAAGCGUAAUAGCUCACUGAUCGAGUCGUCCUGCGCGGAAGAUGUAACGGGGCUAAGCCAUAUACCGAAGCUGCGGAUGCGAGCUUGCUCGCAUGGUAGGAGAGCGUUCCGUAAGCCUGCGAAGGUGCCUUGUAAAGGGUGCUGGAGGUAUCGGAAGUGCGAAUGCUGACAUGAGUAGCGAUAAAGGGGGUGAAAGGCCCCCUCGCCGUAAGCCCAAGGUUUCCUACGCAACGUUCAUCGGCGUAGGGUGAGUCGGCCCCUAAGGCGAGGCAGAAAUGCGUAGCUGAUGGGAAGCAGGUCAAUAUUCCUGCACCGUCGUUAGAUGCGAUGGGGGGACGGAUCGCGGAAGGUUGUCCGGGUGUUGGACGUCCCGGUCGCUGCAUUGGAGAAGGCGCUUAGGCAAAUCCGGGCGCAGGAUUCAAGGGUGUGGCGCGAGCGACUUCGGUCGCGAAGCAAUUGGAAGUGGUUCCAAGAAAAGCCUCUAAGCUUCAGUCUAACGAUGACCGUACCGCAAACCGACACAGGUGGGCGAGAUGAGUAUUCUAAGGCGCUUGAGAGAACUCGGGAGAAGGAACUCGGCAAAUUGGUACCGUAACUUCGGGAUAAGGUACGCCCUUGUAGCUUGACUGGCCUGCGCCAGGAGGGUGAAGGGGUUGCAAUAAACUGGUGGCUGCGACUGUUUAAUAAAAACACAGCACUCUGCAAACACGAAAGUGGACGUAUAGGGUGUGACGCCUGCCCGGUGCCGGAAGAUUAAAUGAUGGGGUGCAAGCUCUUGAUUGAAGUCCCGGUAAACGGCGGCCGUAACUAUAACGGUCCUAAGGUAGCGAAAUUCCUUGUCGGGUAAGUUCCGACCUGCACGAAUGGCGUAACGAUGGCCACACUGUCUCCUCCCGAGACUCAGCGAAGUUGAAGUGUUUGUGAUGAUGCAAUCUACCCGCGGCUAGACGGAAAGACCCCAUGAACCUUUACUGUAGCUUUGCAUUGGACUUUGAACCGAUCUGUGUAGGAUAGGUGGGAGGCUAUGAAACCGGAACGCUAGUUUCGGUGGAGCCGUCCUUGAAAUACCACCCUGGUUUGUUUGAGGUUCUAACCUUGGUCCGUGAUCCGGAUCGGGGACAGUGCAUGGUAGGCAGUUUGACUGGGGCGGUCUCCUCCCAAAGGGUAACGGAGGAGUACGAAGGUACGCUAGGUACGGUCGGAAAUCGUGCUGAUAGUGCAAUGGCAUAAGCGUGCUUAACUGCGAGACCGACAAGUCGAGCAGGUGCGAAAGCAGGUCAUAGUGAUCCGGUGGUUCUGUAUGGAAGGGCCAUCGCUCAACGGAUAAAAGGUACUCUGGGGAUAACAGGCUGAUACCGCCCAAGAGUUCAUAUCGACGGCGGUGUUUGGCACCUCGAUGUCGGCUCAUCUCAUCCUGGGGCUGUAGCCGGUCCCAAGGGUAUGGCUGUUCGCCAUUUAAAGAGGUACGUGAGCUGGGUUUAAAACGUCGUGAGACAGUUUGGUCCCUAUCUGCCGUGGGCGUUGGAUAUUUGAAGGGGGCUGCUCCUAGUACGAGAGGACCGGAGUGGACGAACCUCUGGUGUACCGGUUGUGACGCCAGUCGCAUCGCCGGGUAGCUAUGUUCGGAAGAGAUAACCGCUGAAAGCAUCUAAGCGGGAAACUCGCCUUAAGAUGAGAUAUCCCUGGAGGCUUGACCUCCUUGAAGGGUCGUUCGAGACCAGGACGUUGAUAGGUCGGGUGUGUAAGCGCAGUAAUGCGUUCAGCUAACCGAUACUAAUUGCCCGUAAGGCUUGAUCCU